rnacentral:rRNA from 1 species
GACGAACGCUGGCGGCGUGCCUAAUACAUGCAAGUUGAGCGCUGAAGGUUGGUACUUGUACCAACUGGAUGAGCAGCGAACGGGUGAGUAACGCGUGGGGAAUCUGCCUUUGAGCGGGGGACAACAUUUGGAAACGAAUGCUAAUACCGCAUAAAAACUUUAAACACAAGUUUUAAGUUUGAAAGAUGCAAUUGCAUCACUCAAAGAUGAUCCCGCGUUGUAUUAGCUAGUUGGUGAGGUAAAGGCUCACCAAGGCGAUGAUACAUAGCCGACCUGAGAGGGUGAUCGGCCACAAUGGGAAUGAGACACGGCCCAAACUCCUACGGGAGGCAGCAGUAGGGAAUCUUCGGACAUGGACGAAAGUCUGAACGAGCAAAGCCGCGUGAGUGAAGAAGGUUUUCGGAUCGUAAAACUCUGUUGGUAGAGAAGAAAGUUGGUGAGAGUGGAAAGCUCAUCAAGUGACGGUAACUAAACAGAAAGGGACGGCUAACUACGUG